AGUGUGGUCUCUUGGGAGAUUAUGAUGAAUUGGCUAGGUUGGUUCCUCUUCUUGUUUGUGUUUCUGUAAAUACAUGUUGUAUCUUGUCUCUUAGGGUUAUGUCCAAUAUUGAGAGAAAAGAAAAGAGACAAGAUGGAAAAAAAAGAGAAAAAAAUUACAGAAAAAAUAAGAAAAUUAAAAAAAAAUGGUGAAUAAAGGAGUCAGGAAAAGGAUUGAAUUAGAGGUUUUGGGGUGUAAUUUGAUUAUGUUUACACUUGUUCCCCCUUGCUCCUCUAUUCCUUAUGGUUUGUAGCUUCUUAUCCAUAUUUAUCCUACCUUGUCCUUGGC
rnacentral:lncRNA from 1 species